UAGAGUUUGAUCCUGGCUCAGAAGUCGUAACAAGGUAACCGUAGGUCGUAACACGGUAACCAUAGAGUUUGACCAUGGCUCAGGCGGAUGACUACACGAAGUCGUAACAAGGUAGACCUUA
rnacentral:rRNA from 1 species